rnacentral:rRNA from 1 species
CGGAACGGGUGAGUAAUGCGUGACCAACCUGCCCCAUGCUCCAGAAUAGCUCUUGGAAACGGGUGGUAAUGCUGGAUGCUCCAACUUGACGCAUGUCUUGUUGGGAAAGUGUUUAGUGGCAUGGGAUGGGGUCGCGUCCUAUCAGCUUGUAGGCGGGGUAAUGGCCCACCUAGGCUUCGACGGGUAGCCGGCCUGAGAGGGCGGACGGCCACAUUGGGACUGAGAUACGGCCCAGACUCCUACGGGAGGCAGCAGG